rnacentral:tRNA from 1 species
GCGUCAGUAGCUCAACGGUAGAGCGGUCGGUUUCCUACCCGACAGAUGCGGGCUCGAAACCCGUCUGGCGCU